AGGAUAAUUGGACUAAACAGGGGCAAACUUACCCGGCCCGCACACUGGGGGGAUAGACAGAUUGGUGCUGUUUGUUGAUUCGGUGGGUGGGGGGGCAUGGCCGUUCUAAGUUGGUGGAGCGAUUUGUUUGGUUAAAUCUGAUAGCGAACGGGACUCUAGCUUAUUAAAUAGGUGUGAGGUUCCCAGCACCUUACAACCUUGUUAGAGGGACAAGCGGCUCCUAGCCGCACCAAACAGAGCAAUAACAGGUCUGUGAUGCCCUUAUUUGUCCGGGGCCGCACGCCCGUUACACUGAGGGAGGCAGAGUGUCUUUAUCUCGUGUGAAAAGAGUGGGUUUAGAAGAGUAACUUCUUUAAUGAUUGGGAGAAGGGCUCGCCCUUUUUCCCUUUCAACGUGGAAUCUGCCGGAAGUAAGAGCCUGGUGGCUCAAAACAUUAGGUGCAACCCGGAGGUUCAUGCCAGCAGUCGUAAUAUGGGUGAUCAUGCCAGAAGUCAUAAUAUCGUUCAUCCUCCCAGCAGUCGGAACAGGUGGUCCGGCCUUAACAACUAAUAACGUGGAUCAUGCCUAUAACUAAUAACUCGGUGUCUUGUACG
rnacentral:rRNA from 1 species